UUAACUUAAAUUUGUAUGAAAUUGGAAUGUUUACCUGCGUUUGCCGCUAGGGGCGCUGUUCCAACUGCAUACAAAUUUGAGUUA
rnacentral:pre_miRNA from 1 species